ensembl:lncRNA
UGAACUUCUGGAAGGGAAGCAUUUGAUUUAUCCACUGGCCCAUCAUUCCUGAAAGCUUUCAGAGCGCUGAAUGGAGCCGUCAGAAACCAACGUUGACUGCCUUUUUCUGUGGCUCUCCGUGUUACGUUUUGAGAUGGCAUCUCUUGCUGAACCCGGAGUGCAGAUUUGGAUAGACUGUCUGGAAGAGAGCUGUACGGAGCUUUCUCGGCCUCCCCAGUGCCAGGAUGACACACAGCCUUCCCAUAGACCUCUGGGGAGGACCCGGGAGUUACCAACACAGAGCGACUCUGUGAUUCUGUAUCGCACCAUGCAAGGAUACUAGCGCUUCUUCCUUGUUCCUGCUUCCUUACAAAAUCAACUGACCAGGAGAAAGGCUCAGGUUUGUCAUGACGUGGCGCAGUUCUGCUGCACUGAAGUAACCAUUUCCAUCCUUGUCAAAGACUCGGAAUGCCUCGCGGAUUUCUUCUUUGCUAUCUGUGUCUUUCAUUUUUCUAGCCAUCAUAGUCAAGAACUCUGGAGAGUCAAUGGUGCCAUUCCCGUCGGCAUCCACUUCGUUGAUCAUAUCCUGCAGUUGCAGCCUCGGUUGGGUUCUGACCCUGAGACCGCAUGACAGUCCCCAGCUCCUUUGUUGUGAUGGUGCCGUCCCCAUCUUUAUCAAAUAGGGAGAAAGCUUCCUUGAAUUCAGCAAUCUGUUCUUCAGUCAGCUGAUCAGCCAUGGUGCGAGCGAAGGAAGGAAGAGCGGAGCAGAGCAGGCGAGGGUGGCUGCACCAGUGCAGGGGCUGUGAUCGCCUAGGUGUCUCCGCUGCUGCUGCUAACCUAAUGUGCUACCUGCAUUGUGCGCUGAGCCUCAAGCCGCCGCCCGACUUCCGAGUAACCCGCACCACAGACACGAGACUCCCAGCACCACUGCCCAAGGGUGACUUUUAAAGCUGUUAAAUUG